GUCAACACGGCAGUCCAUGAUUCAAAAUUGAUAGGGUUCAAUUCUAGAUUUAACCAAAAGAUGUUUCCAAAGACCGCUGAUAACGGAUAAUGGCGAUAUCCAAAAUAAUUAAGGUCGCGUGCGAGUUCGAAUAAAUUGAUGCCAAAUUGAGGCCCCUUUCCAAGAGGUCGUUUCGACGAUUCAAAAUACAAUUCAAGUCCGAAAAUGCCGGCAAGCAGUCACACAUGCAACCAAAUGCACUGCAAAACACAAAAAGAAAACAUAAUAACAAAAUAAUUCACAGCUGGAACGACACCAAUGCCGGUCAUUAAACCAAAACUUCAACUUCAGUCUGUGCUGGAACACAGAAAUGUUUGCAGCGAAAAGGAGAAAACUUGUUGCAUGCACAUUUGGUAAAAGAAAGAGGAAACAACGAGAAAAACGAGAAAAACUAAUUGUGGAACGUAUCUUUCGCUAUUAACUUGGAAACUGGAACACAUCGUUCUAGCGUGAAAACUAUAUUCUCGACAAGAGCAAACCAAAGAAAAUUUAUUACAAAUAAUUGAAAACCAGUUUUGAAAGUUUGCGAUUUUCGCUAUUUUCUACAAACAUCCACCACCUUCGGGUUGAGGUAAAUAGAAACAGCAUACAAAAACAAAAUGCGAAAAAUUAGUAACCGGUAAACGUGAGCUUGUAAACGUUUCAUUAUGUUGAAUUCAUUUUGUAAACAAUUUCAACAUUAUCCCACAUUCAGAUAAAUA